AUACGUAGGGGGCAAGCGUUAUCCGGAUUUACUGGGUGUAAAGGGAGCGUAGACGGAAGGCCAAGUCUGAUGUGAAAGCCCGCGGCUCAACUGCGGGACUGCAUUGGAAACUGGUCAUCUGGAGUGCAGGAGGGGUAAGCGGAAUUCCUAGUGUAGCGGUGAAAUGCGUAGAUAUUAGGAGGAACACUGGCGGAGAAGGCGGCUUUCGGGACUGUAACUGACAGUGAGGCACGAAAGCGUGGGGAGCAAACAGGAUUAGAUACCCUGGUAGUCCACGCCGUAAACGAUGAGCACUAGCUGUUGGGGCCGAAUGGUCUCAGUGGCGCAGUUAACGCAAUAAGUGCUCCGCCUGGGGAGUACGCGCGCAAGCGUAAAACUCAAAUGAAUUGACGGGG
rnacentral:rRNA from 1 species